GGGGGGGCUACCAUGCAGUCGAGCGGAUGACGGGAGCUUGCUCCUUGAUUCAGCGGCGGACGGGUGAGUAAUGCCUAGGAAUCUGCCUGGUAGUGGGGGACAACGUUUCGAAAGGAACGCUAAUACCGCAUACGUCCUACGGGAGAAAGCAGGGGACCUUCGGGCCUUGCGCUAUCAGAUGAGCCUAGGUCGGAUUAGCUAGUUGGUGGGGUAAUGGCUCACCAAGGCGACGAUCCGUAACUGGUCUGAGAGGAUGAUCAGUCACACUGGAACUGAGACACGGUCCAGACUCCUACGGGAGGCAGCAGUGGGGAAUAUUGGACAAUGGGCGAAAGCCUGAUCCAGCCAUGCCGCGUGUGUGAAGAAGGUCUUCGGAUUGUAAAGCACUUUAAGUUGGGAGGAAGGGCAGUAAGCUAAUACCUUGUUGUUUUGACGUUACCGACAGAAUAAGCACCGGCUAACUCUGUGCCAGCACCCCCGCUAAUACAGAGGGUGCAAGCGUUUCUCGGAAUUACAGGGAGAAAAGAGCGCGCAAGGUGAUUGUGCGGACCACCGGAGUGAAAAGUCGCGUUUCAACGUGGGGGUG
rnacentral:rRNA from 1 species